UACGGGGGGGAGCAAGCGUUGUUCGGAUUUACUGGGCGUAAAGGGCGCGUAGGCGGCCACCGCAAGUCGGUUGUGAAAUCUCCGGGCUUAACCCGGAAAGGUCAAUCGAUACUGCGGGGCUAGAGUGCAGAAGGGGCAACUGGAAUUCUCGGUGUAGCGGUGAAAUGGCGUAGAUAUCGAGAGGAACACCUGCGGCGAAGGCGGGUUGCUGGGCUGACACGAUGCGCUGAAGCGCGAAAGCUAGGGGAGCGAACGGGG
rnacentral:rRNA from 1 species